rnacentral:lncRNA from 1 species
GCGGCGUCGGGUUGGAAAACCAGGAGAGCAUGGAGCUUUUUCGCUGGUCCGGCGCGGUCUCUUGCGUUCCUGUGGCGGGCACCUGACUCCCCAUGCCCGAGUACUGUCCUCAGGCGGAACGGCGUCUGCAGCGAGGAGCGGGGUUCCAGCAGGCUCGGCUGACGCGGUCCCUGGCAUUUCCCGUGCUGGCCCUGGGUCGCCCUCGAUGCUGCUUCCCGCUGGGAGCCUCCUUCUGACGGCGGAAAGGAGCUUCACCUGGGGCGGCCGGCGGGGAACGGAGAAGAAUCCACCGGGGAAGUGGACGGGGCUGGCUCCCGGGCCUGGCGCUGCGGCUCUCGGGCCGUCAGACCUCCCGCGGGUUGCGUCACUUUCCUCGGUUUUCUAGACAGCAGUUGUGGGGUUGAAUCCUUGCCGUGGUUUUGUAAGAAUUAAAUGAGAUAAUGAACGCGAACACCAAUCAUUGCUCUUUGUUGGGUGCUUCCUGUGGGCCUGGCAAUAUUAACAACACGAGCUCAUUCAUGCAUUCAUUUGCUACUCAGUGACUUUCCUGUCAAUACUGCAAGGUGCUGGAGAUGAGCCCCCACUCUUUGGUCAGUAAAACUGCCAAGAUCACCGACCUUGUGAAGACAUUUGAGGAUGAGAGGUUGGUUGGAGCCUGGACGUGGAGACAGACUCUAAAUAGUUAACUACAAGACACAUAGACAGGGUCUCAAUCUGCCACCCAGCCUGGAGUGCACUGGCACCAUCAUAGCUCACUGCUGAUUCAAACUCCUAGGCUCAAGCAAC